GGAAGACAUCUGCCGCAGAUGUAAUCCAACAUUUGUCCAGUUCACUUCUUGUUCGAAUGAUUCACACUAAAGAUGGAUCGAGGAUUGGUGUACUUUGCAUAAAACAUGGGAGUGCAAAGGAAAGAAAGAAAAUCGUCAAGGGAAUGAAAGGCCAUGU